rnacentral:rRNA from 1 species
ACCUACGGGGGGCAGCAGUGAGGAAUAUUGGUCAAUGGGAGAAAUCCUGAACCGGCCUAGCCGCGUGAGGGAAGACGGCCCUAUGGGUUGUAAACCUCUUUUGUCGGAGAACAAAACCUGGGACGUGUCCCGGACUGCGUGUAUCCGAAGAAAAAGCAUCGGCUAACUCCGUGCCAGCAGCCGCGGUAAUACGGAGGAUGCGAGCGUUAUCCGGAUUUAUUGGGUUUAAAGGGUGCGUAGGCGGUCCGUUAAGUCAGCGGUAAAAUUGCGGGGCUCAACCCCGUCGAGCCGUUGAAACUGGCAGA